rnacentral:rRNA from 3 species
AAAUGACUCUCGGCAACGGAUAUCUCGGCUCUUGCAUCGAUGAAGAACGUAGCGAAAUGCGAUACUUGGUGUGAAUUGCAGAAUCCCGUGAACCAUCGAGUCUUUGAACGCAAGUUGCGCCUGAAGCCAUUAGGCCAAGGGCACGCCUGCCUGGGUGUCACA